rnacentral:sRNA from 1 species
CAGUGAAAUUUGUUCCGUCGGAACGAGUGAAAUAUCCUCAAUGUGAAAUAUUGCUUCGCAAAUGUGAAAUACGUCUGCGGCGUGUGAAAUCGCUG